rnacentral:rRNA from 1 species
GUGGGGAAUCUUGCGCAAUGGGCGAAAGCCUGACGCAGCCAUGCCGCGUGAAUGAUGAAGGUCUUAGGAUUGUAAAAUUCUUUCACCGGGGACGAUAAUGACGGUACCCGGAGAAGAAGCCCCGGCUAACUUCGUGCCAGCAGCCGCGGUAAUACGAAGGGGGCUAGCGUUGCUCGGAAUUACUGGGCGUAAAGGGCGCGUAGGCGGACAGUUUAGUCAGAGGUGAAAGCCCAGGGCUCAACCUUGGAAUUGCCUUUGAUACUGGCUGUCUUGAGUACGGGAGAGGUGAGUGGAACUCCGAGUGUAGAGGUGAAAUUCGUAGAUAUUAGGAAGAACACCAGUGGCGAAGGCGACUCACUGGCCCGUUACUGACGCUGAGGCGCGAAAGCGUGGGGAGCAAACAGGAUUAGAAACCCGAGUAGUCC